CAGGGGGCUGGUGAGGUCCCGGCGUCCCAGCUGAGGAUGCUCUCGCUGGGACUGGCUCACCUGCUGCAGGGGGUGCAGGAGAACGUGGAUCGGAUGGAGCAGCAGGGAGGGAUGGUGGCGGCCGAGCUGGACAGAGCCACAAACAGCCUGGAAAAUAUUCAAAAGUAGAACUUCCAGACUAGACGGACUCACAAACAGGUGAGGAAGGAGCAGCAGAUCCUCAGCGCCAGGAAGGAUCAGACUUGGAGUUCGGUCAGAGAUCUGCAGGAUCUGGAAGCAGAACAGGAAACUAUGAAGCACCGGAUCAACCGGAUCCUCCACAGCGUGAAGAGUCUGACCGAGCCGAGGACGAGGGCUCGGAGUCAGCUGGACGUCAGAUCCAUGAAGGUUCUUAUAGACAAACGGACUCGACUCCUCUCCACUCUGAUCUCGGAGGUUUCAGCCCGAGAGAAGAUGAUCGACAGACGCCUGCAGCACAUCGAACAUCUGGAGAAACAGCUGUCUUCAGGUGGCUGAGAGCCUCCAGCAGCUCUGAGGGCAGAUUCUCUCCACAAUAUUUCACAGCUGCAUCAACACACUGACUCACAAAUACACUCGCAAGAUGAGAACGAUCUGACAAAAUCAUUUAGAGCUAAGAAAUGGUGGAAAAUUACUCAGAUCCUGAGUAAAAGUAUCAAUACUGCAAUGAAAAAAUGG
ensembl:lncRNA